rnacentral:lncRNA from 1 species
GUGUGAAAGAGCCUUGGGCAUAUAAACUUGCAGCCUUUAGAGCCUUACUCCAAAGAAUAAUGAUACACUGCACUACAUUCACAAGUGCAAAUGAAGAAUUAAAUUGGAUUGUAAGACAAGCAAUGUGCCAUGGUUAUAAAGAGCAUUUGAUUUUGAAUAUGUGGGCAAAAAUCUCGGAAAAGUAUAACCGCAACUUAAGGAGAGAUAGGGACCAAUCUGAGACAAGUGAUCAUCGCGAGAAGAAGUUUUUUAAUGUAAAUUUGAAUCUGAUCACUUUGAAGUAAAAGAAGAAAAUAGAGAGAGCCUCAGGUGCCAAAAUGUGCUUAAA